AAGAUCAUACUUCACAGGAUCAUUUCUGUAGUAUGCACCGUCCCCUCCAGGUGCAAAUCUGGAGUGGUCGUCAGCCGCGGUGAUGAGACUAGUUCAUUCGCUUGAGCGUGGACUGCCUGAUGGUUUGCCACGUUGUGAUAAUAAUCAUUCAAUUACGAUGAUCGCUCACAAUUUCACCGGUUGGUGAGUGAACAGUCUGAGUGGU